GAUGAACGCUGGCGGCGUGCUUAACACAUGCAAGUCGAACGGUGAACGAGGGAGCUUGCUCCCUCCGGAUCAGUGGCGAACGGGUGAGUAACACGUGAGCAAUCUGCCCCGAACUCUGGGAUAAGCGUUGGAAACGGCGUCUAAUACCGGAUACGACGCGCGAAGGCAUCUUCUGCGCGUGGAAAGAAUUUCGGUUCGGGAUGAGCUCGCGGCCUAUCAGCUAGUUGGUGAGGUAACGGCUCACCAAGGCGACGACGGGUAGCCGGCUGAGAGGGUGACCGGCCACACUGGGACUGAGACACGGCCCAGACUCCUACGGGAGGCAGCAGUGGGGAAUAUUGCACAAUGGGCGCAAGCCUGAUGCAGCAACGCCGCGUGAGGGACGACGGCCUUCGGGUUGUAAACCUCUUUUACCAGGGACGAUAAUGACGGUACCUGGAGAAAAAGCCCCGGCUAACUUCGUGCCAGCCGCCGCGGUAACAC
rnacentral:rRNA from 1 species